rnacentral:rRNA from 1 species
UCAUCAUGCCCCUUAUGUCUUGGGCUUCACGCAUGCUACAAUGGCCGGUACAAAGGGCUGCGAUACCGCGGAGGUGGAGCCGAAUCCCAGAAAGCCGGUCUCAGUUCGGAUUGGGGUCUGCAACUCGACCCCAUGAAGUCGGAGUCGCUAGUAAUCGCAGAUCAGCAACGCUGCGGUCGAAUACGUUCCCGGGCCUU